UCCUCAGCAACAGACUGGAGGCCUCAAGCAACUGGAGGCUUCUAGCAGGUGGUUAACACCAUGAUGGACAGGCUUGCCACAUAUUUUACCCUUAAGAAUUGGACAUUUCCAUUCACCAAGAUGCACACAAAUCCAAUAUAUGACAUAACAUUUGUUAGCCUCCUAUUUCAGUCUAUUAAAUCUUCAUCUGGCCAGCUCCUGCAUGGACUUGGACACGCCCAUUCUGGCUUACCUGAAGGCUGUGCCAAUAGAAAGGGAAAAGCCCUUUAUCCUUCUUCUCAGGAAUGACAUCAGCUCACCUUUCCUCGUCAUCAUAAAUGUCUUCAGUGGACAUCUCGGUCCUGGGGACUGAGAUAUUUCCUGGUGCCAGUGGAUCGAGGCCACUGCAGUCCGCCAGCUGUCUUCCUUUGGCCGUCCCUAGAAGACAGUGAAGUGGGAGGAUUAU